rnacentral:misc_RNA from 1 species
GAUGAAGAACGUAGCGAGAUGCGAUAAGUAGUGUGAAUUGCAGAAUUCAGUGAAUCAUCGAAUCUUUGAACGCACAUUGCGCCCUUUGGUAUUCCAAAGGGCAUGCCUGUUCGAGCGUCAUUUGUACCCUCAAGCUUUGCUUGGUGUUGGGCGUCUUGUCUCUAGCUUUGCUGGAGACUCGCCUUAAAGUAAUUGGCAGCCGGCCUACUGGUUUCGGAGCGCAGCACAAGUCGCACUCUCUAUCAGCAAAGGUCUAGCAUCCAUUAAGCCUUUUUUUCAACUUUUGACCUCGGAUCAGGUAGGGAUACCCGCUGAACUUAAGCAUAUCAAUAAGCGGAGGA